AAAACAUAGCCCUUGAAAAAAUCAAAGGUGUAACCUGCCCAAUGAUUUUAAAUUUCAUAAGAAUAAUCUUUUAUAAUAAAAUUUAAAGGACGCAGUAACCUGACUGUGGUAAUGUAGCAUAAUCAUUCGCCAUUUAAUUGAUGGAUAGUAUGAAUGGUUGAACGAAUUCUUCACUGUCUUAAAAAGAGAAAUCAUGAAAUUAAAAUAAUAGUUAAGAUGCUAUUUACUAUUGUAAGACGAAAAGACCCUAUAGAGCUUAACUACAAAUUUUUUAAUAAAAAGAAAUUUUUAAAAUUCUAAAACAAAAAGUUGGGUAGUUUAGUUGGGGCGACUAUCUUCUAAAAUUAACGAAGACAAGCAACAUUAAUAAUUAAUUUAUUGUAUAAUCCAUAAAUUUAACAAUUACAAAAGUAGGCUAUAAUGACCCGUUAUAAUCUAAUAAUAGAAAUAACGAUCAAUAAAUAAAAGCUACCUUAGGGAUAACAGGAUAAUUUUGUUCUAGAGAUCUUAUCGAAAACAAAGUUUGUCACCUCUAUGUUGAAUUAAGAUAUCCUGAUAGUGCAGAAGCUAUCAAAGGUAGGUCUGUUCGACCUUUAAAAUCUUACAUGAUUU
rnacentral:rRNA from 1 species